rnacentral:rRNA from 1 species
UACGUAGGGAGCAAGCGUUGUUCGGAUUUACUGGGCGUAAAGGGCGCGUAGGCGGCGCGGUAAGUCACUUGUGAAAUCUCUGAGCUUAACUCAGAACGGCCAAGUGAUACUGCAGUGCUAGAGUGCAGAAGGGGCAAUCGGAAUUCUUGGUGUAGCGGUGAAAUGCGUAGAUAUCAGGAGGAACACCCGGGGCGAAGGCGGUUCUCUGGGCAUGUCCUGACGCUGAGGAGCGAAAGUGUGGGGAGCGAACAGG